UUGGGGGGGCGUGCUUAAACAUGCAAGUCGAACGGUGAAGCCAAGCUUGCUUGGUGGAUCAGUGGCGAACGGGUGAGUAACACGUGAGCAACCUGCCCUGGACUCUGGGAUAAGCGCUGGAAACGGCGUCUAAUACUGGAUAUGAGCCCCUAUCGCAUGGUGGGGGUUGGAAAGAUUUUUUGGUCUGGGAUGGGCUCGCGGCCUAUCAGCUUGUUGGUGAGGUAAUGGCUCACCAAGGCGUCGACGGGUAGCCGGCCUGAGAGGGUGACCGGCCACACUGGGACUGAGACACGGCCCAGACUCCUACGGGAGGCAGCAGUGGGGAAUAUUGCACAAUGGGCGAAAGCCUGAUGCAGCAACGCCGCGUGAGGGAUGACGGCCUUCGGGUUGUAAACCUCUUUUAGCAGGGAAGAAGCGAAAGUGACGGUACCUGCAGAAAAAGCGCCGGCUAACUACGUGCCAGCAGCCGCGGUAAUACGUAGGGCGCAAGCGUUAUCCGGAAUUAUUGGGCGUAAAGAGCUCGUAGGCGGUUUGUCGCGUCUGCUGUGAAAUCCCGAGGCUCAACCUCGGGCCUGCAGUGGGUACGGGCAGACUAGAGUGCGGUAGGGGAGAUUGGAAUUCCUGGUGUAGCGGUGGAAUGCGCAGAUAUCAGGAGGAACACCGAUGGCGAAGGCAGAUCUCUGGGCCGUAACUGACGCUGAGGAGCGAAAGGGUGGGGAGCAAACAGGCUUAGAUACCCUGGUAGUCCACCCCGUAAACGUUGGGAACUAGUUGUGGGGACCAUUCCACGGUUUCCGUGACGCAGCUAACGCAUUAAGUUCCCCGCCUGGGGAGUACGGCCGCAAGGCUAAAACUCAAAGGAAUUGACGGGGACCCGCACAAGCGGCGGAGCAUGCGGAUUAAUUCGAUGCAACGCGAGAACCUUACCAAGGCUUGACAUAUACGAGAAC
rnacentral:rRNA from 1 species